CACACUGGAACUGAGACACGGUCCAGACUCCUACGGGAGGCAGCAGUGGGGAAUAUUGCACAAUGGGCGCAAGCCUGAUGCAGCCAUGCCGCGUGUGUGAAGAAGGCCUUCGGGUUGUAAAGCACUUUCAGUCGUGAGGAAGGUGGUGUAGUUAAUAGCUGCAUCAUUUGACGUUAGCGACAGAAGAAGCACCGGCUAACUCCGUGCCAGCAGCCGCGGUAAUACGGAGGGUGCGAGCGUUAAUCGGAAUUACUGGGCGUAAAGCGCAUGCAGGUGGUUUGUUAAGUCAGAUGUGAAAGCCCGGGGCUCAACCUCGGAAUAGCAUUUGAAACUGGCAGACUAGAGUACUGUAGAGGGGGGUAGAAUUUCAGGUGUAGCGGUGAAAUGCGUAGAGAUCUGAAGGAAUACCGGUGGCGAAGGCGGCCCCCUGGACAGAUACUGACACUCAGAUGCGAAAGCGUGGGGAGCAAACAGGAUUAGAUACCCUGGUAGUCCACGCCGUAAACGAUGUCUACUUGGAGGUUGUGGCCUUGAGCCGUGGCUUUCGGAGCUAACGCGUUAAGUAGACCGCCUGGG
rnacentral:rRNA from 1 species